GACGAACGCUGGCGGCGUGCUUAACACAUGCAAGUCGAACGGUAAGGCCCCUUCGGGGGUACACGAGUGGCGAACGGGUGAGUAACACGUGAGCAACCUGCCCUUGACUCUGGAAUAACAGUUGGAAACAGCUGCUAAUACUGGAUAUUCAUCGUCUCCUUCCUGGGGGGUGGUGGAAAGCUCCGGCGGUCAGGGAUGAGCUCGCGGCCUAUCAGCUUGUUGGUGAGGUAAUGGCUCACCAAGGCUUCGACGGGUAGCCGGCCUGAGAGGGCGACCGGCCACACUGGGACUGAGAUACGGCACAGACUCCUACGGGAGGCAGCAGUGGGGAAUAUUGCACAAUGGGCGCAAGCCUGAUGCAGCAACGCCGCGUGCGGGAUGACGGCCUUCGGGUUGUAAACCGCUUUCAGUAGGGACGAAGGGUGACUGACGGUACCUACAGAAGAAGGACCGGCUAACUACG
rnacentral:rRNA from 1 species